AUUGAACGCUGGCGGCAGGCCUAACACAUGCAAGUCGAGCGGAUGAAGGGAGCUUGCUCCUGGAUUCAGCGGCGGACGGGUGAGUAAUGCCUAUGAAUCUGCCUGGUAGUGGGGUAUAACGUCCGGAAACGGGCGCUAAUACCGCAUCCGUCCUGAGGGAGAAAGUGGGGGAUCUUCGGACCUCACGCUAUCAGAUGAGCCUAGGUCGGAUUAGCUAGUUGGUGGGGUAAAGGCCUACCAAGGCGACGAUCCGUAACUGGUCUGAGAGGAUGAUCAGUCACACUGGAACUGAGACACGGUCCAGACUCCUACGGGAGGCAGCAGUGGGGAAUAUUGGACAAUGGGCGAAAGCCUGAUCCAGCCAAGCCGCGUGUGUGAAGAAGGUCUUCGGAUUGUAAAGCACUUUAAGUUGGGAGGAAGGGCAGUAAGUUAAUACCUUGCUGUUUUGACGUUACCAACAGAAUAAGCACCGGCUAACUUCGUG
rnacentral:rRNA from 1 species